UGUCACUCGCCUGCUGUCUCUGCUACUGCCAGUGAAACUGUGUAAACCUGAUGCCCCAGCACCAGAGCCGGAUUUAGGGGCAGGCGACCGCCUGGGGUGCCGGGCUUGGGGGGCGCCAGGCUCAGGGUGCUGCUUUUGCUGUUAGCAACAAAAGGGAAAAUCAAAUGUUUGAAGUAAAAUGUUUCAGGAGAAAAAUUCCAGCGAGAGUUUUUUUCUCUCUCGUUGACCCUGCGCAAGUGUCUAUCGAAGAAAGGUUCAGACCAAUGAAGCACCGUGAAAAGACCUGGGGAGGGUUGUACAACUUUAGUAAGCAGCCGGCAGACAGGAAAACACGGCUGAGCUAUUGUACGGACCUUCACCGGGCGCUGACGCAUGGGGACUGUUCGGACGUCAAUGACAAAGACCUCUCUGUCAAAUCGGACAACGUCCGUCACGUUUUGCCACACGGGACGUGCUCCCCACUCCAAGUUCUCUACCACACGCGUGAGGCAGAGCUGCAGGACGCUUCUCCUAAUGCGUGAGCAGCUCUGAGGCUUCUGCUCACGCUGCUGGCCACAGUCGUGUGUGGUGAGUUGAGCUUUUCGAAGCUCAGGCUCAUUAAAACGUAUCUGCGAUCGCCGAUGGCCAAUCGGAGACGGACAUCACCGGCUGUUUUAUCACUUGAAAAUGCCAGUGGCCAGUCUUUGGCUCCCUCUCGGAUGCUGCACUUCAGUUCACAUGGGCGAAGGAUGAUCUGAGGAAUGGAAAACCCACCUUAUGAGAGAAAACUCAGAGAGCUUGGCUUGUUUAGCCGAACCCAAAGAAGGCUGAGGGAAGAUACGACUGCUCUGCUUUUUAGAAACACAUCAGAGGGGUAAAUACUAGGGAGGGAGAGGAGUUAUUUACAUUAAGCACCAGUGUGGACACAAGAACAAAUGGAUAUAAACUGGCCAUCAGCAAGUUUAGGCUGGAAAUCCGAUGAAGGUUUCUAAGGCCUCGUCUACAUCACCCAGUCUUGUCAGCAAAAGGCAGCUUUUGUCGACAAAACAGAGGAGGUGUAUACACUACAGUGCCACUUUCGCUGAAAAAUUCCCAUUUGGCCAACAAAAUAAAACCCUUUCGACGAGAGGCACAGAGCUUUUUGCAGCAAAGUUUUAGCGACAGUGUCAGUGACCACACCGUGCUUGGUUGUGUCACUGUAAAUGGCCUCCAGGAGGUGGCCCAUAAUGUCCAUCCUGACCGCUCUGGUCAGCAGUUCGAACUCUGCUGCCCGGCAGCCAGGUAAACAACCAUCCACCCCUCCCCCUUUAAAGGCCUGGGAAUUCUUGCUCAGCGGAGAGCUCACAUCGCAUCUUCCCAGCUGCCCAUGGCAGCUCCACGUGGCAAAAGCCCCCGGCUUGGAGCAAUGCGGAGCUGUUACAUCUGCUGAAUGCAUGGGGAGAGGAUGCCAUCCAGUCCCAGCUCUGCUGCAGCUGAAAGAACUUCGACACCUAUGGGCCGAUUUCUCGUGGCUUGUGUGAUCAAGGCCAUGUUCGGGACACAGUGCGUGCAGAGUGAAGAUAAAGGAGCUGAGGCAGGAAUAUCAGAAGGCGAGGGAGAUAAACUGCCACUCUGGUGCUGCGCUGAAGACCUUGGCCAGGCUGGAGGCAGUGAACAGUGGACUUAACCCCAAGGACAAAGUCGUGGACAAGGAGGUGGAGUUGGAGGACGAUGCGGGGCCUACAGCAGGGUUGUCUGGUGACACGGCCAGUGAGGAAUUAUUCUCCACUCUGGAGGGGUCUAGCCAAUCCCAGCAGCACAUCUCUGGCGAGCAAGAUGCAGGAGAGGAGACCCCGAUGUGGCCUUCAGGGGAAACCCCUACAUACCGGCAGAGCGCCUCUGCCAGAUAAAGAAGCAAUCUAGGUGGAGUAAGGAGGACAUGUUCCACGAGGUGCUUUAAUCCUCAGAGGCAGAAAAAAGAGAACAGAGGGAGUGGAGAGAAAUGGAAAGGUGGGACAGAAAGUAGAGUGAGGAGAGCAUUCAAAAGGCCCAUGAACGAAUGAUAAAAAUCAUGGAGGAGCAAACAGAAACACUGAAGUCUCUCAUCAUGCUUCAGUCAGAACGGACGUGUGCUUGCCCCCCUUUGCAGCCGAUACAGAACUAUUUUCCAUGCUCUCCACAAAGUUCUUCCACACGUUCCUUCGAACUCUCCAGAACAUCUCAGUAUCCCGUUCACUCCAUCCCUUCGGACAGCUUCCAAAAUGAUAGCUGGACUUACAGACAGCUAUGACAGCCUCCACUGCCCUGCUCUACUACCUCUCUUCCCACCAAGCCUUUUGUGCAUGUUAAUUGGUGUUUAAUAAAAACAAACUUUCUGAAAAUGAACCAAUCUUUAUUUGUGUCCUACUGUCACGGAGUCCCCGGGCAAUGCUCUGGAACUGCUCCCCACAAA